GCCUGGGUGGCUCAGUCGGUUGAGCAUCUGACUUCAGCUCAGGUCAUGAGCUCAUGGUUUGUGAGUUCGAGCCCCGCGUCAGGCU
rnacentral:tRNA from 1 species